rnacentral:rRNA from 1 species
ACACAUGCAAGUCGAACGAAGCACUUUAUUUGAUUUCCUUCGGGACUGAUUAUUUUGUGACUGAGUGGCGGACGGGUGAGUAACGCGUGGGUAACCUGCCUUGUACAGGGGGAUAACAGUUGGAAACGGCUGCUAAUACCGCAUAAGCGCACGGCAUCGCAUGAUGCAGUGUGAAAAACUCCGGUGGUAUAAGAUGGACCCGCGUUGGAUUAGCUAGUUGGUGAGGUAACGGCCCACCAAGGCGACGAUCCAUAGCCGACCUGAGAGGGUGACCGGCCACAUUGGGACUGAGACACGGCCCAAACUCCUACGGGAGGCAGCAGUGGGGAAUAUUGCACAAUGGGCGAAAGCCUGAUGCAGCGACGCCGCGUGAGCGAAGAAGUAUUUCGGUAUGUAAAGCUCUAUCAGCAGGGAAGAUAAUGACGGUACCUGACUAAGAAGCACCGGCUAAAUACGUGCCAGCAGCCGCGGUAAUACGUAUGGUGCAAGCGUUAUCCGGAUUUACUGGGUGUAAAGGGAGCGCAGGCGGUGCGGCAAGUCUGAUGUGAAAGCCCGGGGCUUAACCCCGGUACUGCAUUGGAAACUGUCGUACUAGAGUGUCGGAGGGGUAAGCGGAAUUCCUAGUGUAGCGGUGAAAUGCGUAGAUAUUAGGAGGAACACCAGUGGCGAAGGCGGCUUACUGGACGAUAACUGACGCUGAGGCUCGAAAACGUGGGGAGCAAACAGGAUUAGAUACCCUGGUAGUCCACGCCGUAAA